rnacentral:rRNA from 1 species
AUUGAACGCUGACGGCAGGCCUAACACAUGCAAGUCGAACGAGUGGCGGACGGGUGAGUAAUGUCUGGGAAACUGACUGAGGGCGGGAGAUAACUACUGGAAACGGUAGAUAAUACCGCAUACCAUCAGAUGUGCCCCGAUGGUAGUUGCUUGUUGGGGGGGUAAAGUCUCACCAAGGCGACGAUCCCUAGCUGGUCUGAGAGGAUGACCAGCCACCCUGGAACUGAGACACGGUCCAGACUCCUACGGGAGGCAGCAGUGGGGAAUAUUGCACAAUGGGCGCAAGCCUGAUGCAGCCAUGCCGCGUGUAUGAAGAAGGCCUUCGGGUUGUAAAGUACUUUCAGCGGGGAGGCGUUACCCGCAGAAGAAGCACCUGCUAACGCCGUGCCAGCAGCCGCGGUAAUUC